GUGGGGAAUUUUGGACAAUGGGCGCAAGCCUGAUCCAGCAAUGCCGCGUGCAGGAAGAAGGCCUUCGGGUUGUAAACUGCUUUUGUACGGAACGAAACGGCUCUGGUUAAUACCCGGGGCUAAUGACGGUACCGUAAGAAUAAGCACCGGCUAACUACGUGCCAGCAGCCGCGGUAAUACGUAGGGUGCAAGCGUUAAUCGGAAUUACUGGGCGUAAAGCGUGCGCAGGCGGUUUUGUAAGACAGGCGUGAAAUCCCCGGGCUCAACCUGGGAAUUGCGCUUGUGACUGCAAGGCUGGAGUGCGGCAGAGGGGGAUGGAAUUCCGCGUGUAGCAGUGAAAUGCGUAGAUAUGCGGAGGAACACCGAUGGCGAAGGCAAUCCCCUGGGCCUGCACUGACGCUCAUGCACGAAAGCGUGGGGAGCAAACAGGAUUAGAUACCCGGGUAGUCC
rnacentral:rRNA from 1 species